UUUUUGUGUCCUUUUAAUUUCUGUAUUUUUAUUUUCUAGUUGUAUGUUAGCAUAAAUUUUAGGAUUAGAAAAUCAUAUUGUUUUGCUGUCAGUUUAAGAAUUUAUUUAGUUCUGUGUAAUUGCUAAUUAAAUUAUGAUUUAGUAGGUUGUCAUAAUCCUGUUAAGCUAUCUGUUUGUAAAAAUGAGUUAGUUAUGUUCCCUUUAAAAUAUGGUCUGGGUUUCAAUUGCUGGCUUGAUUAAUUUGGCUUAUGAAAUUGCUUAAAAGGGGAGGAUUCUGUUUAUAUAAUGACUCAAAUGAGUUUCAAAUGCAACUCUGUUGACACUGAACUUAAAAUAAAUAUUUAUACCUUUGUUCUUUCUGAAUUCUAGAGGUCUUGAUGAUUCUGUGUUUAAUAUUCACUUCCUUUUUCCUGAUUUUGUAGUACUUAAAAUUUGUAACUAAUUCUUAAUCCACAUGCUAAGACUGUUUUGAGUGAAGCCUUGUGGAAUGCCCAAGUUUAAUUCAUUACACUAUAAAGUGAGGUGCUGAGUGUGUGCAAGUUUGUUUCUCAUUUACACAUCAAACUUCCUGCUUGUUUACUCUGAAUAAUAGAGGAAGGGAUACUUAUAAAUGUUUGAUUUGAUACAAAAUCUACAACCUAGAUACCGUUUUGCUCUUGUUGAUAUUUUGUGCUGAAACUUUCUCUUAGAAGUCAACUGCCAUGUAGGGAUUUCAAAAAAAAAAAAAAAAAACUGUUUUUGUGUUGACCUGUAACAUGAUAUACAUUUAGCACAUAAUCAAAUCUCUGUUUAAAGAAAGAAAUGAUUUUUAAGGGAAAGUAUCAUGAUUAAUGAAGUUUUAAUAUUGAAAUUGUCUAUGACAGUAACUUGUGAGACCAUACAUGGACUUAUGAGUUUAGGAUUCAUCACAGGAUUCAAUAUAAGCUAAGUAUUAAAACCAAUUAGUUUGAUUCCUUUAUAGAAGUUUCUCGUACUAAAAAGGAAUAACCUAUAUGACACUGUUUUCACUUGCUUAUGUGCAGCUUUCUGCCCAUUCUUCAUCAUUUAGUUGCUAAUGAGAAAUUAAUCUUAGUAUAAAGUUGAAUAGUAUAUUAGGAGUAGGAUUAGGAAGUGUGUGAUUAUACUUGUUUGUACUUGGAAUGGAUUGUGAAGAGUGAAGUCCAGCUUACAUGAACUAUUUAAAUUCAAACUGGUCUUAUUUGUUUACUUCUCACUAAAAAUGGUCUUUAAAGUUGAAUGUUUGGAUAAAGUUAUGUGAUCAGGGUCUGUUAUAAUUGUGACUCAAUUUCCCCGACUUUUUUUUUUAUUAUUAUUUCCGGAUUGUAAUUAUUUGUGUGAGCCACAGUGUGCUAUUUUAUUUGAUGAACAGUGUAAUGGGCCUAAUUUCAGUAGCAUGUUACAUUUGAAUAGUUUAAAAUACAAAGUGAUUAAAAUGAUACAUAGUAAUUAUUAAGGGAGUGUUUGGCAUCAUUGUCUGUAUACACUUUAGUCUUUAUAUUAUGCCAAUAUACAUAAGUAAAGAUAAGUCAUGGUAUGUGGGGAUUAAGCUUGAGCUUCCCUUGGUGUCUGCGUUCCAAGAAACCCCUUGAAUCUUGUGAGACAUCAGGAAGAAGGAAGUAAAAGCUUUCCUUCUAUAUCAUUUCUACAUCUUUAUGGGUGCAUAUCAGUGGUAUAUUGAAGGUAUAAGUGUGCAUGGAAUAAAACAUGAAUGCCACUCACUUUCUUAUGUUUAAUAAAAUGACCUUGGGCCUGUUUGGGACAAACAUGUAGUUUAUUACUUCUACUUAUCUCUGUUUACUUACUUAGACAGUCCAGAAUUUUAGUUGAUUAAUUAGUUUAGCUUUAUUUUAUUAGUUACUAAUCCGUAUACUUUUCCAUGCAUUCUUGUGAAAUACCUGUGGUUCUUGGACUGUGCAUUGGUCAUUCCCGAAUUGGGCUAAGCCCAAUUCACUUCUGAUAUUGAGUCUGGUUCGAAAAAGGUGGAAUAGCAAGGGAAGCAAAUAUAUUGAAAGUCCAGCUAUGGGUGAAAAUAGCCUAAUAGGUUCGGUCGCCCAUUAGUAAAAAUCCCCCAUCCCUCUUUAUUCGUUAUGUGUUAAUUUUCCUGUAUAAAUGUGAUUAAACUCAUAUAUUAGUGAAACCCCUUAUGAAUGUAGAGUUAGGACAAACAUUUAGCUAAAUUAGG